GGAUAGGAUAUACACCAUUUCGCGGCAUCGUCGCCAUUUUAUUCGUACUUGGUUGUUCACAAUUACUUUCAAUUACAGUAAAAGUAGUUUUUUUCUGUUUUGUAAACUGUAUUUUCGACGGUUUUGAUGUAAACUACCAUCAGCGGAUACGUGAGCGGAUACAUUUUCUUCUGUCUUACGUCAGUUUGGAAGACCAGAUGAGGCACCAUCUCCUGAUUCUUCUCUGUAAAAAAGAGAACAUUCAAUGGAUCAAUUGAUUGCGUCCAGUAACGGAACUCAGCAUUAUGGUGUUAAACGUCUGAGAUCAGAUGAGACACCAUCUCCAGGAUCCUCAAUCCUUCAACCGAUUGUAUUGAACAAUAGAGCACAAAGAUUCAUUGGAGAGAACCAAACACCAGAUGAACCACCAUCUCCUGCAGUUUCAUACUUCUCUUUCAAAAGCAACCAUUCGAUGAAUUGGCAGUAUGAAUUUAACAGAAUUCAGAGUUAUGGUGUUAACAGUGAACUAUUUGAGGCACUGUCCCCAGCACCCUCACUCCUGUCUGUAAAGAGUAAUGAGUCAAUGGAUGGGCCAGUUGUGACAAGAGAGAGACUACAUAAUUGCAGUCUACAACCAUAUGAAGCAGCAUCUCCAGUACCUUCCUUUGCGUCUCUAAAAAGUGAUCAGUCAAUGGAUCGACCGAUUGUGUUAAGAGAGGAAGCACAUAAUGACAUGUUAAGAAGGUAUGAGAUUCUAUUAAAUGGUGUGUGUGAAAUUAUGCCAUUUUAAAGGCAAAGAGUUGGUCAAAGUAAAUAGUGAUUUUCACAAGGACUCAGGCGUGGCGGCCAUCUUGGCCGGGGACUCAGGCGUGGCGGCCAUCUUGGCCGGGGACUCAGGCGUGGCGGACAUCUUGGCCGGGGACUCAGGCGUGGCGGACAUCUUGGCCGGGGACUCAGGCGUGGCGGACAUCUUGGCCGGGGACUCAGGCGUGGCGGACAUCUUGGCCGGG
rnacentral:lncRNA from 1 species